AGGGUCUUCCUUCCUCGGAUACCCCUAUGCCCGUCUGACAACGACAUGUUUCCAUUCAAGUUCAAGAGGAAGUAGUUUCUUCUCAGGCUUGGCUUUGCUAUGACGAUUAACAAGCCACAAGGACAGACCAUCCCAAUUGCUAGCGUGUACCUACCUAAUCAUGUGUUCUCUCAUGGUCAACUCUAUGUCGCAUUGUCUCGAGCCACCGCGAAGAGAAACAUAAAGAUCCUCUUUGAGAAAUAGAAGGAGAAGGGCAAGGAGACCAAUAAAUCAAAGAAACGAAAAAGACCUACCCUGUCCUUACAGACCUCGAUGAAGAACAUCGUCUAUAAGGAAGUCCUUACAGGCUGA
rnacentral:rRNA from 1 species